rfam:Felis catus isolate Cinnamon breed Abyssinian chromosome A3, whole genome shotgun sequence.
GCCUGGGUAGCUCAGUCAGUUAAGCAUCUGACUUCGGCUCAGGUGAUGAUUUCACAGUUCGUGGGUUCAAGCCCCACAUCAGACU